GAUCAUGACUCAGGACGAACGCUGUCGGCGUGCUUAACACAUGCAAGUCGAACGAGAAUCUGUGAAAAGAGGAUUCGUCCAAUUGAAGCAGAGGACAGUGGCGGACGGGUGAGUAACGCGUGAGGAACCUGCCUUUCAGAGGGGGACAACAGUUGGAAACGACUGCUAAUACCGCAUGACACAUAGGUGUCGCAUGGCACUUAUGUCAAAGAUUUAUCGCUGAAAGA
rnacentral:rRNA from 1 species